rnacentral:rRNA from 1 species
GCAAGUCGAACGAGACCUUCGGGUCUAGUGGCGCACGGGUGCGUAACGCGUAGGCAAUCUACCCGAUACAGGGGAAUAACACGGGGAAACUCGUGCUAAUACUGCGUAAUAAAUGAGAAGGCAUCUUCUUAUUUUAAAAGCUUCGGCGGUAUCGGAAGAGCCUGCGUCCUAUUAGCUAGUUGGUAAGGUAACAGCUUACCAAGGCGACGAUAGGUAGGGGAACUGAGAGGUUGAUCCCCCACACUGGUACUGAGAUACGGACCAGACUCCUACGGGAGGCAGCAGUGAGGAAUAUUGGUCAAUGGACGGAAGUCUGAACCAGCCAUGCCGCGUGUCGGAAGACGGCCCUCUGGGUUGUAAACGGCUUUUCUUUGGGAAGAACACGCUCUUGCGAGAGCAACUGACGGUACCAAAGGAAUAAGCACCGGCUAACUACGUGCCAGCAGCCGCGGUAAUACGUAGGGUGCAAGCGUUGUCCGGAUUUAUUGGGUUUAAAGGGUGCGUAGGCGGCUAUUUAAGUCGUGGGUGAAAGCCCGUCGCUUAACGACGGAAUUGCCUGCGAUACUGGAUAGCUUGAGUAUCGUUAAGGUUGGCGGAAUGGGAGGUGUAGCGGUGAAAUGCAUAGAUACCUUCCAGAACACCGAUUGCGUAGGCAGCUGACUAGGCGAUAACUGACGCUGAGGCACGAAAACGUGGGGAGCGAACAGGAUUAGAUACCCUGGUAGUCCACGCCGUAAACGAUGAUGACUCGUUGUUG